rnacentral:tRNA from 1 species
AAGAGUAUAACUCAGUGGUAGAGUGCAUGCUUAGCAUGCACAAGGUCUUGGGUUCAAUCCCCAGUAUCUUC